GAGCAGAAUAGGAACAUGAAUGAACCUUUCAAUAAAUAAAAAGAUUUUAUCAAUACAUAAGGAGUAGAGAUCCUUGGGCUUUUUCACAAAAUUGAAUCGCAACAGGAACCCGCGGCAGAAAUCUUGACGGGACUUCAAAUCAUGACCUCGACUGAACUUGUAUUCUUUAGUGGUGAUUUGGUGCUGAUUUUGAGACAGUUUUAAGAGUGUUUUUAGCUGAUUUUUGGGCUGUGUUUUGGUGGUUGUUUCGCUAAUAUUUCAACAGCGUUUGUGAGUUUUUUUAGGGGGGAAAAGCAACAGGUUUUGGUCGCAUUUUGAGAUCGAUGUUGGCUGAUUUUGGCGACCAUUUUUCUGGUGUUUGACGGUGGUUUAGUGACUGUUUUGGGGGUGUUUAAAGGUGGAAUUUAUAGCUGGUUUGUGUGGGUUUAAGGUGGAGGAAGAAGGCUUGGAAAAAGGAUAAUUUUGUGCUCCUCAAACAGCUACUGUUGUUGCGUUUUACUACUGAAAAUUAGUGUUUUGCUGAGAUUUUUGGCUUAGUUUGGACAUGUUUGUUGGGCUGGUUUAGGGCUGUCUUAGAGCUGAUUUUCAUAGCUUGUUUUGGGGUCAUUUGUGGCUGCUCUUUAGCUGCAUUUUGGUGACCGUUUGGAGCUAUUUUCGGUGUCCAUUUUGCUGCAUUUUUAAACUGUGUUUGGAGAGCUAUUGGGGGUGAUUUUGUUGGGUUUCUAAUGGAGGAUAAUGGGUAGGGAGCUAUGGCUGUUUGGUGGUAUUUUUGUGGAGAUUUACAUG
rnacentral:lncRNA from 1 species